AACGAACGCUGGCGGCAGGCUUAACACAUGCAAGUCGAGCACCCCGCAAGGGGAGCGGCAGACGGGUGAGUAACGCGUGGGAAUCUACCUUUUGCUACGGAAUAACUCAGGGAAACUUGUGCUAAUACCGUAUGUGCCCUUUGGGGGAAAGAUUUAUCGGCAAAGGAUGAGCCCGCGUUGGAUUAGCUAGUUGGUGAGGUAAAGGCUCACCAAGGCGACGAUCCAUAGCUGGUCUGAGAGGAUGAUCAGCCACACUGGGACUGAGACACGGCCCAGACUCCUACGGGAGGCAGCAGUGGGGAAUAUUGGACAAUGGGCGCAAGCCUGAUCCAGCCAUGCCGCGUGAGUGAUGAAGGCCCUAGGGUUGUAAAGCUCUUUACAACGGUGAAGAUAAUGACGUAACCGUAGAAGAAGCCCCGCUAA
rnacentral:rRNA from 1 species